AUAAGAGUUUCUCUUGAGAAUAUUCUUGGAAUACGAGUAUUCGUUCCUCCGAUAAUAUUCGAGAGAUGGAACGAUGAUUAUGGGAACCUCUGAUAGAACAUGUCUGGCAGGUUUAAACCCUAGUACACUCCCUUUGGGUGGUUCUUAACCGAGACUCCAUGCUCGUGACUCUCAACAAACCCAUGAUUCGUGGUUGAGUCGUUCAAACAUUGUUAAUAUCAAUGGAUCCCGGAUCAGGGGUAAAACCUAAAAUCCACCAAAGCGGCUGGUUGAUAUUAAGGAUGUUUGAGCUGGUUCAUGUACCGUUAAUAUCAAUGGAACUUGGGUGUCGAUAAGGUGAAAACCUAAAUCCACCAAAAUGGAUGAUUGAUAUUAGGGAUACAAUGAGCUUUCCCACGACCUUUGUUUGGCGUGCUUUGCUUGAUCCUUGAGUGUGUUUGUUGCAUUCAUGCAUUC
rnacentral:lncRNA from 1 species